rnacentral:rRNA from 2 species
AAGAUUUAUCGGCUUAAGAUGAGCCCGCGUUGGAUUAGCUGGUUGGUGGGGUAAAGGCCUACCAAGGCGACGAUCCAUAGCUGGUCUGAGAGGAUGAUCAGCCACACUGGGACUGAGACACGGCCCAGACUCCUACGGGAGGCAGCAGUGGGGAAUAUUGGACAAUGGGCGCAAGCCUGAUCCAGCCAUGCCGCGUGAGUGAAGAAGGCCUUAGGGUUGUAAAGCUCUUUCACCGGUGAAGAUAAUGACGGUAGCCGGAGAAGAAGCCCCGGCUAACUUCGUACCAGCAGCCGCGGUAAUACGAAGGGGGCUAGCGUUGUUCGGAUUUACUGGGCGUAAAGCGCGCGUAGGCGGAUAGAUAAGUCAGAGGUGAAAUCCCGGGGCUCAACCCCGGAAUUGCCUUUGAUACUGUUUAUCUUGAGUGCAGAAGAGGUAAGUGGAAUUCCGAGUGUAGAGGUGAAAUUCGUAGAUAUUCGGAGGAACACCAGUGGCGAAGGCGGCUUACUGGUCUGCAACUGACGCUGANGCGCGAAAGCGUGGGGAGCAAACAGGAUUANAUACCCUGGUAGUCCACGCUGUAAACGAUGGAAGCCAGCCGUCGGCAAAUUUAUUUGUCGGUGGCGCAGCUAACGCAUUAAGCUUCCCGCCUGGGGAGUACGGUCGCAAGAUUAAAACUCAAAGGAAU